rnacentral:lncRNA from 1 species
AGGAUUCUACAGCAAAUCCACCCUCUCAGCUCAGCCCAGCCCUGUCCUGACCUCAGGAGGUGGUCAGCCCCCAGUGACCCCCCUGGACAUCCUGAUCGCAGGACAGAUCCGUGAGACAGCCUCCCUCUUGGUGCAACCAGGCCCCACUGUGGUCUCAGGAGAGAACAUGGCCCUGCUGUGUCAGAUGCAAAGCUGGGUGGACAGACACUUUCCUUCUAUCUGAGGAGGAUGCAGCUGACAAGACCCCACCCUCGUAUCUAAUAUCAAAGUACCCUACUCUGUGGUAGAGGUUGAAUUCUCCAUGAGUCCUGCGACCUCAGCCCAUGCGGGGACCUACAGGUGCUAUGCCUCAUAGAGUGUUUACCCCAAGCUGUUGUUCCCCCAGUGACCUCCUGGUAAUACAGGAGUUACUAAGAAAUUGUUUUAGGCAGAUAGUAAGGGUAAAGGUUCUUGGUGGAAAUUUUCCAGUAAUAAGGAACAAUCCCUGAACCAUCUCUUUUCUAACAGAAAUGACAGCUUAAAUGGCCCGGCCAGCAAGCUUUAAUGUGCAAAUGCCAACCAUUAAAAACUGGGUUCACUCAA